AGAGUUUGAUCAUGGCUCAGAACUAACGCUAGCGGCGUGCUUAACACAUGCAAGUCGUACGAGAAAAUUCGCUUCGGCGGAUGAGUAAAGUGGCGCACGGGUGAGUAACACGUGGAUAAUCUACCCUUCGGUAGGGAAUAACCCGCUGAAAAGCGGGCCAAUACCCAAUAAUACUAUAAUACUUUGGUGUGAUAGUUAAAGAUAGCCUCUAUAUAUAAGCUUUCGCCGGGGGAUGAGUCCGCGUACCAUUAGCUUGUUGGUGGGGUAAUGGCCUACCAAGGCUACGAUGGUUAGCUGGUCUGAGAGGACGAUCAGCCACACUGGAACUGAAACACGGUCCAGACUCCUACGGGAGGCAGCAGUGAGGAAUUUUGCGCAAUGGGAGAAAUCCUGACGCAGCAACGCCGCGUGAGUGAGGAAGGCCUUCGGGUCGUAAAGCUCUGUCAGGUGGGAAGAAAUGUUUGGAUGCUAAUAUCCUGCGUGCUUGACGGUACCGCCAGAGGAAGCACCGGCAAACUCCGUGCCAGCAGCCGCGGUAAUACGGGGGGUGCGAGCGUUGUUCGGAAUUAUUGGGCGUAAAGAGCGUGUAGGCGGCCAGGGUAAGUCAGAUGUGAAAGUCCCGGGCUCAACCUGGGAAGUGCAUUUGAUACUGCCUGGCUGGAGUAAGGGAGAGGAAAGUGGAAUUCCUGGUGUAGGGGUGAAAUUCGUAGAUAUCAGGAGGAACACCGGUGGCGAAGGCGGCUUUCUGGCUCUAUACUGACGCUGAGACGCGAAAGCGUGGGUAGCAAACAGGAUUAGAUACCCUGGUAGUCCACGCUGUAAACUAUGUUCACUAGGUGUUGGGGGUAUUGACCCCCUCAGUGCCGCAGCUAACGCAUUAAGUGAACCGCCUGGGGAGUACGGUCGCAAGACUAAAACUCAAAGGAAUUGACGGGGGCCCGCACAAGCGGUGGAGCAUGUGGUUUAAUUCGAUGCAACGCGAAGAACCUUACCUGGACUUGACAUCCCGAGAAUCCCCUGGAAACAGGAGAGUGCCUCUUCGAGAACCCUGGUGACAGUGGUGGCCUGGUGGCCUCCACUUCUGUCCUGGGAAGGUUGGGUAAAGU
rnacentral:rRNA from 1 species